UACGGGGGGGGGCAAGUGUUAUUCGGUCAAACUGGGCGUAAAGCGUCUUUAGGCUGUUAAUUGAGAGUUAUACGCUAAAUUACAAUGGGUAACCUUGUAUUGUUGUAUAAUACCAAUUUUUCUAGAGUUUUGGAGGGGUAUGUGUUAUUUCUUCAGUAAGAUUAAAAAUUUUUAGACAGAAGAAGGAGCUUCAGGGGUGAAGACAACAUACUAGUUGAAACUGACACUAAAAGACUAAAGCAUAGGUAGCAGAUCGGG
rnacentral:rRNA from 1 species